AAUAUUAACACAGAGAAGGCGAAAGUGCAGGUUGACAGGAAAGCCUGGCUCUCCCCUGACUCAAUUCAGGAGAUCAUUAAGGACGAAGUCUUGCUGUAAAGUACACCUCUCUUCCUCCGAUGACAGUGACAACCAGGGCGCUGAAUCAGGGGCAGCCUGCUCUCCUUUGACAAACACCCACCCACUUUGAUGCUGCAAACAGAGGAAGAUACCAAACAAAUUGUGACAGCCACAGGAAAUGAUUCUACAGGAGAGACAGCAUCACACCUACUUGCAAAGAUAAAGCAAAUAUGGAGAAAGGAAUGAAUAAUAGAAUGGUGAACACAGAUAUACUCUGAACAAUCAGACAGACCAUCUUCUGCCUCAUUCAAUGCUUCUUUCUUCUAGAAACAGAUUAUUUUUCAUCAAAACCUCUACCCAUUACCUUCAAGGAUUCUAAGUCAAUGAUAGGGGUCUCCUUCCCCCUUUUGGUGCAAAACAGAAUCUGUAACUUUACAAAAAGUGAAAUGUCUUCAUCUCUGGAAAGCCUUUGAUCCAUAAAAUAAACCUCUUGCUUAGGCAUGACUUU
rnacentral:lncRNA from 1 species